rnacentral:rRNA from 1 species
ACGCUGGCGGCAGGCCUAACACAUGCAAGUCGAGCGGUAGAGAGAAGCUUGCUUCUCUUGAGAGCGGCGGACGGGUGAGUAAUGCCUAGGAAUCUGCCUGGUAGUGGGGGAUAACGUUCGGAAACGGACGCUAAUACCGCAUACGUCCUACGGGAGAAAGCAGGGGACCUUCGGGCCUUGCGCUAUCAGAUGAGCCUAGGUCGGAUUAGCUAGUUGGUGGGGUAAUGGCUCACCAAGGCGACGAUCCGUAACUGGUCUGAGAGGAUGAUCAGUCACACUGGAACUGAGACACGGUCCAGACUCCUACGGGAGGCAGCAGUGGGGAAUAUUGGACAAUGGGCGAAAGCCUGAUCCAGCCAUGCCGCGUGUGUGAAGAAGGUCUUCGGAUUGUGAAGCACUUUAAGUUGGGAGGAAGGGCAGUUGCCUAAUACGUAACUGUUUUGACGUUACCGACAGAAUAAGCACCGGCUAACUCUGUGCCAGCAGCCGCGGUAAUACAGAGGGUGCAAGCGUUAAUCGGAAUUACUGGGCGUAAAGCGCGCGUAGGUGGUUUGUUAAGUUGGAUGUGAAAUCCCCGGGCUCAACCUGGGAACUGCAUUCAAAACUGACUGACUAGAGUAUGGUAGAGGGUGGUGGAAUUUCCUGUGUAGCGGUGAAAUGCGUAGAUAUAGGAAGGAACACCAGUGGCGAAGGCGACCACCUGGACUGAUACUGACACUGAGGUGCGAAAGCGUGGGGAGCAAAC